rnacentral:ncRNA from 2 species
GUCUCAAGCUAGGGGUGCCUUGCAUCGGCUGAGAUUAUACCCUGAGAACCUGAGCCUGGGUUAUACCAGCGGAGGGAAGCUGUUUAUUGAGGAA